rnacentral:rRNA from 1 species
GUUAUAUGGUCAAGCGAAUAAGCGCACAUGGUGGAUGCCUUGGCGGUCAGAGGCGAUGAAGGACGUGGUAGCCUGCGAAAAGUGUCGGGGAGCUGGCAACAAGCUUUGAUCCGGCAAUAUCCGAAUGGGGGAACCCACUGUUUAGGCAGUAUCUUUGAGUAAAUUCAUAGCUCAAGGAGGCGAACCUGGUGAACUGAAAUAUCUAAGUAACCAGAGGAAAAGAAAUCAACAGAGAUUCCCUGAGUAGUGACGAGCGAACGGGGAUUAGCCCUUAAGCUAGUAUGGUUUUAGGAAAGCAAUCUGGGAAGGUUGGCCAUAGAAGGUGAUAGCCCUGUAUCCGAAAGGGCCGUACUAGUGAAGAUGAGUAGGACGGGGCACGUGAAACCUUGUCUGAAUAUGGGGGGUCCAUCCUCCCAAGGCUAAAUACUCCUGACCGACCGAUAGUGAACUAGUACCGUGGAGGGAAAAGGCGAAAAGAACCCCGGGAGAGGGGGAGGUGAAAUAGAACCUGAAACCAUGUGCGUACAAGCAGUAGGAGCCCUUAUGGGUGACUGCGUACCUUUUGUAUAAUGGGUCAGCGACUUACUGUUCGUGGCGAGCUUAACCGUAUAGGGGAGGCGAAGGGAAACCGAGUCUGAUAAGGGCGCAUAGUCGCGGGCAGUAGACCCGAAACCGGGUGAUCUAGUCAUGUCCAGGGUGAAGGUGCCGUAACAGGUACUGGAGGCCCGAACCCACUCCCGUUGCAAAGGUAGGGGAUGAGGCGUGAUUAGGAGUGAAAAGCUAAUCGAACCCGGAGAUAGCUGGUUCUCCUCGAAAGCUAUUUAGGUAGCGCCUCAUAUGUAUCCUCUCGGGGGUAGAGCACUGUUAUGGCUAGGGGGUCAUCGCGACUUGCCAAACCAUUGCAAACUCCGAAUACCGAGAAGGACUGUAUGGGAGACACACGGCGGGUGCUAACGUCCGUCGUGAAAAGGGAAACAACCCAGACCCACAGCUAAGGUCCCAAAUUCAUAGCUAAGUGGAAAACGAUGUGGAAAGGCAUAGACAGCCAGGAGGUUGGCUUAGAAGCAGCCAUCCUUUAAAGAAAGCGUAAUAGCUCACUGGUCGAGUCGGUCUGCGCGGAAGAUUUAACGGGGCUAAGCUAUGAACCGAAGCUUGGGGUGCAUAUUUUUAUAUGCGCGGUAGAGGAGCGUUCCGUAAGCCUGUGAAGGUGAGUUGAGAAGCUUGCUGGAGGUAUCGGAAGUGCGAAUGCUGACAUGAGUAACGAUAAUAUGGGUGAAAAACCCAUACGCCGAAAGCCUAAGGUUUCCUUGCGCAACGUUAAUCGGCGCAGGGUUAGUCGGCCCCUAAGGCGAGGGCGAAAGCCGUAGUCGAUGGGAAGCAGGUUAAUAUUCCUGCACCUCGCGUGAGUGCGAUGGAGGGACGGAGAAGGCUAGGUGUACCGGGCGUUGGUUGUCCCGGGGAAAGGAGGUAGGCUGGGUCCUUAGGAAAAUCCGGGGGUCCUUUUAAAGCCGAGCACCGAGACGAGUCUUUUUUAGAUGAAGUCACUGAUGCCACGCUUCCAGGAAAAGCUUCUAAGCUUCAGCUCACGAAGACCGUACCGUAAACCGACACAGGUAGGUAGGAUGAGAAUUCUCAGGCGCUUGAGAGAACUCGGGUGAAGGAACUAGGCAACAUGGCACCGUAACUUCGGGAGAAGGUGCACCCUUUUUGGUGGCGCGUGCGCGUUAUAGCUGAAGAGGGUCGCAGAAACCAGGCCGCUGCGACUGUUUAUCAAAAACACAGCACUCUGCAAAACACGAAAGUGGACGUAUAGGGUGUGACGCCUGCCCGGUGCUGGAAGGUUAAUUGAUGGGGUUAGCUGUAAAAGGCGAAGCUCUUGAUCGAAGCCCCAGUAAACGGCGGCCGUAACUAUAACGGUCCUAAGGUAGCGAAAUUCCUUGUCGGGUAAGUUCCGACCUGCACGAAUGGCGUAACGACAGCGGCGCUGUCUCCACCCGAGACUCAGUGAAAUUGAAAUCGCUGUGAAGAUGCAGCGUUCCCGUGGCAAGACGGAAAGACCCCGUGAACCUUUACUAUAGCUUUACACUGAACGUUGAGUUCGUCUGUGUAGGAUAGGUGGGAGGCUAUGAAACCACGACGCUAGUUGUGUUGGAGCCAUCCUUGAAAUACCACCCUGUCGUGCUUGACGUUCUAACCUAGUUCCGUUAUCCGGAUCAGGGACAGUGUAUGGUGGGUAGUUUGACUGGGGCGGUCUCCUCCCAAAGAGUAACGGAGGAGCACGAAGGUACGCUCAGCGCGGUCGGACAUCGCGCACUGUGUGCAAAGGCAUAAGCGUGCUUGACUGCGAGAUCGACGGAUCAAGCACGUACGAAAG